UUCAAGAAUAAAGGUUCUCUUCAGUUUGAAGACAAAUGGGAUUUUAUGCGCCCGAUUGUUUUGAAGCUUUUACGCCAGGAAUCUGUUACAAAACAGCAGUGGUUUGAUCUGUUUUCGGAUGUGCAUGCAGUCUGUCUUUGGGAUGAUAAAGGCCCAGCAAAAAUUCAUCAGGCUUUAAAAGAAGAUAUUCUUGAGUUUAUUAAGCAAGCACAGGCACGAGUACUGAGCCAUCAAGAUGAUACGGCUUUGCUAAAAGCAUAUAUUGUUGAAUGGCGAAAGUUCUUUACACAAUGUGAUAUUUUACCAAAACCUUUUUGUCAACUAGAGAUUACUUUAAUGGGUAAACAGGGCAGCAAUAAAAAAUCAAAUGUGGAAGACAGUAUUGUUCGAAAGCUUAUGCUUGAUACAUGGAAUGAGUCAAUCUUUUCAAACAUAAAAAACAGACUCCAAGAUAGUGCAAUGAAGCUGGUACAUGCUGAGAGAUUGGGAGAAGCUUUUGAUUCUCAGCUGGUUAUUGGAGUAAGAGAAUCCUAUGUUAACCUUUGUUCUAAUCCUGAGGAUAAACUUCAAAUUUAUAGGGACAAUUUUGAGAAGGCAUACUUGGAUUCAACAGAGAGAUUUUAUAGAACACAAGCACCCUCGUAUUUACAACAAAAUGGUGUACAGAAUUAUAUGAAAUAUG
rnacentral:lncRNA from 1 species